AGUGUCCUGAGAACACACAAGAGCCUGGUCACACUGGCUCUGCCCUACAAGUGCUCACCCCACCUUCAAUUUAUUGGCUACGCCCCUUCCUGUACAUUAACAGCAAGCAACGCUGGAACCCCAGGCUAGCAAAAGGUGCAGGAAUCACAUGCAGCAGGAACGCAGGUGGGAGGGAGACACAGCAGACUGCUUAACUGGGCCAGCACAGCGUCUGCUGUAGGACACAGAUGUUGAGCUCAAAUCAAGAGGAGGACAGUGAGAGAGGGAGUGGUCUGGAGUCCCCCCAGGUCCUGCCCCCCCUCGCCUGCCACUCACCCAGAGGGUCCGCCUUCCCAUCCUUAUCUGGAACGGUGAACACGCCCACCACCUUGUGGCCUUGCUUC